rnacentral:rRNA from 1 species
CCUACGGGUGGCUGCAGUGGGGAAUAUUGGACAAUGGGGGGAACCCUGAUCCAGCGACGCCGCGUGAGUGAAGAAGUAUUUCGGUAUGUAAAGCUCUAUCAGCAGGGAAGAAAAUGACGGUACCUGACUAAGAAGCCCCGGCUAACUACGUGCCAGCAGCCGCGGUAAUACGUAGGGGGCAAGCGUUAUCCGGAUUUACUGGGUGUAAAGGGAGCGUAGACGGUGCAGCAAGUCUGAUGUGAAAUCCCGUGGCUCAACCACGGAACUGCAUUUGAAACUGGCGGUCUUGAGUACCGGAGAGGCAGGCGGAAUUCCUAGUGUAGCGGUGAAAUGCGUAGAUAUUAGGAGGAACACCAGUGGCGAAGGCGGCCUGCUGGACGACAACUGACGGUGAGGCGCGAAAGCGUGGGGAGCAAACAGGAUUAGAUACCCGAGUAGUC